rnacentral:rRNA from 1 species
AUUGAACGCUGGCGGCAGGCCUAACACAUGCAAGUCGAGCGAGCGGCGGACGGGUGAGUAAUGUCUGGGAAACUGCCUGAUGGAGGGGGAUAACUACUGGAAACGGUAGCUAAUACCGCAUACCAUCAGAUGUGCCCAGAUGGGAUUAGCUAGUCGGUGGGGUAACGGCUCACCACGGCGACGAUCCCUAGCUGGUCUGAGCGGAUGAGCAGCCAAACUGGAACUGAGAAACGGCCAAGACUCCUACGGAAGGCAGCAGUGGGGAAUAUUGCACAAUGGGCGCAAGCCUGAUGCAGCCAUGCCUCGUGUGUGAAGAAGGCCUUCGGGUUGUAAAGCACUUUAGGCGGGGAGGCGUUACCUGAAGAAGAAGCACCGGCUAACUCCGUGCCAGCAGCCGCGGUAAUAC